CCUACGGGAGACAGCAGUGAGGAAUAUUGGUCAAUGGGCUUACGCCUGAACCAGCCAAGUCGCGUGAGGGAAGACUGCCCUAUGGGUUGUAAACCUCUUUUGUCAGGGAGCAACGCCGGCUACGUGUAGCCUGACUGAGAGUACCUGAAGAAAAAGCAUCGCCUAACUCCGUGCCAGCAGCCGCGGUAAUACGGAGGAUGCGAGCGUUAUCCGGAUUUUUUGGGUUAAAAGGGUGCGUAGGCGGAAUGCCAAGUCAGCGGUAAAAUCUCGGGGCUAAACCUCGCUUCGCCGUUGAAACUGGCGUUCUUGAGUGGGCGAGAAGUAUGCGGAAUGCGUGGUGUAGCGGUGAAAUGCAUAGAUAUCACGCAGAACUCCGAUUGCGAAGGCAGCAUACCGGCGCCCAACUGACGCUGAAGCACGAAAGCGUGGGUAUCGAACAGGAUUAGAUACCCGUGUAGUC
rnacentral:rRNA from 1 species